GGGUUGGUUGAUGUUUUGUUCUGAAAUGUUGAUCGCGAUUGUUCUCGCAUUCGUGAUCCUAUAAAAUUCGUAAGCUCGCACCCAUGAGCCAUUUCAUUUCAGUCAGAUCUGUCAUCAUGUCAUGUCAUUCUCAUGUCAUACACGCCUCCAGUCUGCCUUUUCAAACUGUUUCAGUUAUUAAUUAUUUGUGCGAUUGAAAUUUCAUGAAGCGGAAAUCGUGUGUGACAUUUCUGCAUGUCUUGAAACGGCGUGUCACACUCGGAGCUCCCUUUUACGACUUGCAAUGCAACAACUGAUGGGUAUUCCGCUGUAAAUAAUGCAAUUGGAAAAUCAUAACAGACGAACUAGAUACAGCUCCAGUCAAGUUGAAUAUUCGAAUAAACGUUAUGAUUUAUCAAAUUGGUGGAAUAUAUACGCAUAACGGUGGCAUGCUUCAAAUUUUGUAGAGGAUAUGUAAAUUUUAUGAUGUAAUUAUUCACUAAAGAACUUAUGAAGACAACAAUUUAACUGAUAUCUGAUAUCCAACUGAUAUCCAUUAACACUCGAAUAAAGGUUGACUUGACUUGAAUUUAAGAUACGAAGCGUGGAAUAUGUAAUAAACAAAACUAACGAUAUCCAUGAAUUCAACCUUCAACUACGCAUUGCAAUUUGUAAAAUUUGUAAAGUAAUUUUUAAGGCGCAAGUGGCUUCCAACUACAUAAAACAAAUCUCAUAAUUUUGUAAGAGGCACAGUAUCGCCCUGAAAGCGUAGCCUCAGCAGACAUCUCUCGCCGCCGAGUCGUAACUUUUGGAGCAACAUUCACACUCGGCUUUGUCUUCAAGAAUGCUACGUACAUAUAAUACGAUAAUUCAUAAAAUAUUAACUAAAUUCUUCGGAAAAUAUCAUGUCAGAACUCAAAGAUGCGUUUAAGAUAUAGUGACGCCAUGCAAUUUCUUAAUUCUUAUAUAUGUAAAUAUACGCCACUACUAGUACAGAUAAUUAGCCUUUUCACAGCUUAAAGAAUUAUUCUCAUAGUACAGAUUUCAUUUUGUUUGCAGAAGUGUGAACAUGGGUGUCAUUUAAUGGACCAGAGUUUUAAUUGAAAUCACAUAACUAAAUAUAUUGAAAUUCCAUAACUUGAAUUUCGAGUACUUUAAAUACGUUCGAACCAUCCCUAUAACUGAAUCCGUCAGACACGUAUUUUCAUAACUUUUAAAUUCAUUUAUUUAAUCGAAUUAAAGCACUGUAAAUUCAAGUUAUGCGAUUUCAAUAUAUUUAGUUAUGUGAUUUCAAUUAAAAGUCUGGUGGAUUAAAAAUAACCCUGUGAACAUGUCCAAAAUUUACCAACUAAAUAAUUUGGUGGAACAAAUAGUAAAACAUUUUGUAAAUUCUGUUACUUUGAAUGGUUGUGAAUGUACAGUAUAUACAUAUAUUUGUAACUUUGCAAUAAAAUACAGUGUCCAACUGGAUAACAAAUUAUUCUUUUUAUUUGCAUAUAAGAUAUCAACGUCACUCAUUGAACAUGAACACUAUAACAACUUUGUGACAAUAUUAUAACACGGAGAAUUUUAUAAAGCUAGUAAUAAAUACUUUCAUGCAUUGCAGAUAAAUCUGACAUAUUUACCAUAUUCACCGCUUGUGACAAGCUUAUAGUAUGUAAUGGGUGCAUUACGAAUA